CAAUAUGAAGAUACUGACAGAUCUGCUGUAAAGUCGCAUCAAUACUGUCGAACCUCUGAGCACAGUACUGACGGAACCUAGCAAACUCCUCGGAGGAUACUCCUAGAGAGCUAGCAGCAGAGGGAGCAUGUCGGUGACUCGAUGGUGGAGGCUAUGGUGGGUCCUCGUGAUAGGGAGGAACAUCAUCACUGAAGUCCUCUAGGUCAUGCUGACUGUCAAAUUGGACUAGUCUGUACUGAGGGGGUCCACUCCAUGUCGCC
rnacentral:lncRNA from 1 species